rnacentral:sRNA from 1 species
UGAACAUCAAGUGAAUUGUUGUUAUGAAA